CAUAUCAAUAAGCGGAGGAAAAGAAACUAACAAGGAUUCCCCUAGUAACUGCGAGUGAAGCGGGAAAAGCUCAAAUUUAAAAUCUGUCAGUCUUUGGCUGUCCGAGUUGUAAUCUAGAGAAGCGUUAUCCGCGCUGGACCGUGUACAAGUCUCCUGGAAUGGAGCGUCAUAGAGGGUGAGAAUCCCGUCUUUGACACGGACUGCCAGGGCUUUGUGAUGCGCUCUCAAAGAGUCGAGUUGUUUGGGAAUGCAGCUCAAAAUGGGUGGUAAAUUCCAUCUAAAGCUAAAUAUUGGCGAGAGACCGAUAGCGAACAAGUACCGUGAGGGAAAGAUGAAAAGAACUUUGGAAAGAGAGUUAAACAGUACGUGAAAUUGCUGAAAGGGAAACGCUUGAAGUCAGUCGCGUUGUCCAGGGAUCAACCUUGCUUUUGCUUUGUGUACUCUCUGGUUGACGGGUCAGCAUCAAUUUUGACCAUUGGAAAAAGAUUAAGGGAAUGUGGCAUCCUUGGAUGUGUUAUAGCCCUUGGUUGCAUACAAUGGUUGGGAUUGAGGAACUCAGCACGCCGAAAGGCCGGGUUUUAACCACGUACGUGCUUAGGAUGCUGGCAUAAUGGCUUUAAUCGACCCGUCUUGAAACACGGACCAAGGAGUCUAACAUGCCUGCGAGUGUUUGGGUGGAAAACCCGAGCGCGUAAUGAAAGUGAAAGUUGAGAUCCUUGUCAUGGGGAGCAUCGACGCCCGGACCAGACCUUUUGUGACGGUUCCGCGGUAGAGCAUGUAUGUUGGGACCCGAAAGAUGGUGAACUAUGCCUGAAUAGGGUGAAGCCAGAGGAAACUCUGGUGGAGGCUCGUAGCGAUUCUGACGUGCAAAUCGAUCGUCAAAUUUGGGUAUAGGGGCGAAAGACUAAUCGAACCAUCUAGUAGCUGGUUCCUGCC
rnacentral:rRNA from 1 species